rnacentral:rRNA from 1 species
GACAGAGGGUGCAAACGUUGUUCGGAAUUACUGGGCGUAAAGCGCGUGUAGGCGGCAAUACAAGUUGGAUGUGAAAUCCCCGCGGCUUAACCGUGGAAGUGCACCCGAAACUGUAUCGCUAGAGUCCCGGAGAGGAUGGUGGAAUACUUGGUGUAGAGGUGAAAUUCGUAGAUAUCAAGUGGAACACCGGUGGCGAAAGGCGGCCAUCUGGACGGUGACUGACGCUGAGACGCGAAAGCGUGGGUAGCAAACAGG